rnacentral:lncRNA from 1 species
GCUCGGGUUGGCGAGGUCCGGGAGCCCUCGGUGCCGCGAUGGGAAGUGCUUGCCCACGGCCCGGCCUGGGGACACACUCCCGCGCCCUCCAGGCCCCUGAGCUGUUCCUGGGAAAGGGCGUGAACGAAGCUCCCGCACAACCCCUUUCUUUCUCUUGGCACUUCCCAGUAAACCCUCCAGGUGUCCAGCUACACGACUGGACCUCAGUGCCCACUACAUGGACAAGCCUUGAAACUCAUCCAUCCAAACAUCAGAUAAACCUAAACUGAGAGACAUUUCACAAAACUACACAAAGAUGAAGAAGGGCUGAGGAACUGCACCAGACCGAAGGAAAGGAAAGAGACAGAACAACUAGAUGCAGUGCGUGAUCCCAGCUUGCAUCUUGGAUGGGGGGGAAAUUGCUGUUAAGGACAUAAUUGGCAAAAUUUGCAUGUGGAUUAUAUAACAGUAAUAUUGUAUCAAUGUUAAAUUUCCUGAAUUGGAUCAUUGAAACGUG